GGAAUCUUCCACAAUGGGCGAAAGCCUGAUGGAGCAACGCCGCGUGUGUGAUGAAGGGUUUCGGCUCGUAAAACACUGUUGUAAGAGAAGAAUGGCAUUGAGAGUAACUGUUCAAUGUGUGACGGUAUCUUACCAGAAAGGAACGGCUAAAUACGUGCCAG
rnacentral:rRNA from 1 species